rnacentral:rRNA from 1 species
UAAGGAAUAUUGGUCAAUGGACGCAAGUCUGAACCAGCCAUGCCGCGUGAAGGAUGAAGGUCCUCUGGAUUGCAAACUUCUUUUAUCUGGGACGAAAACGGGAUUUUUAUCUCAAUUGACGGUACCAGAGGAAUAAGCACCGGCUAACUCCGUGCCAGCAGCCGCGGUAAUACGGAGGGUGCGAGCGUUAUCCGGAUUUACUGGGUUUAAAGGGUGCGUAGGUGGGCUUAUAAGUCAGUGGUGAAAUCUCCGAGCUUAACUUGGAAACUGCCGUUUAUACUAUAGGUCUUGAAUUAUCUGGAGGUAAGCGGAAUAUGUCAUGUAGCGGUGAAAUGCUUAGAUAUGACAUAGAACACCAAUUGCGAAGGCAGCUUACUACAUAUAAAUUGACGCUGAGGCACGAAAGCGUGGGGAUCAAACA